rnacentral:rRNA from 1 species
CAGUAGCCACGGUAAUACGUAGGGUGCGAGCGUUAAUCGGAAUUACUGGGCGUAAAGCGUGCGUAGGCGGUGAGUUAAGUCUGCUGUGAAAUCCCCGGGCUCAACCUGGGAAUGGCAGUGGAUACUGGCUCGCUAGAGUGUGUCAGAGGAUGGUGGAAUUCCCGGUGUAGCGGUGAAAUGCGUAGAGAUCGGGAGGAACAUCAGUGGCGAAGGCGGCCAUCUGGGACAACACUGACGCUGAGGCACGAAAGCGUGGGGAGCAAACAGGAUUAGAUACCCGCGUAGUCCCUGUCUCUUAUAC